rnacentral:rRNA from 1 species
GAUCCUGGCUCAGGACGAACGCUGGCGGCGUGCCUAAUACAUGCAAGUCGAGCGGACAGAAGGGAGCUUGCUCCCGGAUGUUAGCGGCGGACGGGUGAGUAACACGUGGGUAACCUGCCUGUAAGACGGGAUAACUCCGGGAAACCGGAGCUAAUACCGGAUAGUUCCUUGAACCGCAUGGUUCAAGGAUGAAAGACGGUUUCGGCUGUCACUUACAGAUGGACCCGCGGCGCAUUAGCUAGUUGGUGGGGUAAGGCUCACCAAGGCGACGAUGCGUAGCCGACCUGAGAGGGUGAUCGGCCACACUGGGACUGAGACACGGCCCAGACUCCUACGGGAGGCAGCAGUAGGGAAUCUUCCGCAAUGGACGAAAGUCUGACGAGCAACGCCGCGUGAGUGAUGAAGGUUUUCGGAUCGUAAAGCUCUGUUGUUAGGGAAGAACAAGUGCGAGAGUAACUGCUCGCACCUUGACGGUACCUAACCAGAAAGCCACGGCUAACUACGUGCCGCAGCCGCGGUAAUACGUAGGUGGCAAGCGUUGUCCGGAAUUAUUGGGCGUAAAGGGCUCGCAGGCGGUUUCUUAAGUCUGAUGUGAAAGCCCCCGGCUCAACCGGGGAGGGUCAUUGGAAACUGGGAACUUGAGUGCAGAAGAGGAGAGUGGAAUUCCACGUGUAGCGGUGAAAUGCGUAGAGAUGUGGAGGAACACCAGUGGCGAGCGACUCUCUGGUCUGUACUGACGCUGAGGAGCGAAAGCGUGGGGAGGAACAGGUAUUAGAUACCCUGGUAGUCCACGCCGUAAACGAUGAGUGCUAAGUGUUAGGGGGUUUCCGCCCCUUAGUGCUGCAGCUAACGCAUUAAGCACUCCGCCUGGGGAGUACGGUCGCAAGACGAAACUCAAAGGAAUUGACGGGGGCCCGCACAAGCGGUGGAGCAUGUGGUUUAAUUCGAAGCAACGCGAAGAACCUUACCAGGUCUUGACAUCCUCUGACAACCCUAGAGAUAGGGCUUUCCCUUCGGGACAGAGUGACAGGUGGUGCAUGGUUGUCGUCAGCUCGUGUCGUGAGAUGUUGGGUUAAGUCCCGCAACGAGCGCAACCCUUGAUCUUAGUUGCCAGCAUUCAGUUGGGCACUCUAAGGUGACUGCGGUGACAAACCGGAGGAAGGUGGGGAUGACGUCAAAUCAUCAUGCCCCUUAUGACCUGGGCUACACACGUGCUACAAUGGACAGAACAA